rnacentral:rRNA from 1 species
AUUGAACGCUGGCGGCAGGCCUAACACAUGCAAGUCGAGCGAGCGGCGGACGGGUGAGUAAUGUCUGGGGAACUGCCCGAUGGAGGGGGAUAACUACUGGAAACGGUAGCUAAUACCGCAUACCAUCGGAUGUGCCCAGAUGGGAUUAGCUAGUAGGUGAGGUAAUGGCUCACCUAGGCGACGAUCCCUAGCUGGUCUGAGAGGAUGAUCAGCCACACUGGAACUGAGACACGGCCCAGACUCCUACGGGAGGCAGCAGUGGGGAAUAUUGCACAAUGGGCGCAAGCCUGAUGCAGCCAUGCCGCGUGUAUGAAGAAGGCCCUCGGGUUGUAAAGUACUUUCAGUGGGGAGGCGUUACCGACAGAAGAAGCACCGGCUAACUCCGUGCCAGCAGCCGCGGUAAUAC